rnacentral:rRNA from 1 species
CCUACGGGAGGCAGCAGUGAGGAAUAUUGGUCAAUGGACGAAAGUCUGAACCAGCCAUGCCGCGUGCAGGAUGACGGCUCUAUGAGUUGUAAACUGCUUUUGUAUUAGGGUAAACACCCCUACGUGUAGGGGCUUGAAAGUAUAAUACGAAUAAGGAUCGGCUAACUCAGUGCCAGCAGCCGCGGUAAUACGGGGGGUGCAAGGGUUGUCCGGAUUCAUUGGGGGGAAAAGGUUCGUAGUCGGCACGUAAAGGUUGGUGUUAAAGGCAGAGGUUCAACUCCUGUACGGCACUGGUAACUUGCGAGCUAGAAUGCGGUAGAGGUAAAGGGAAUUCCUGGUGUAGCGGUGAAAUGCUUAGAUAUCAGGAGGAACAUCGGUGGCGUAAGCGCUUUACUGGGCCGUAAUUGACGCUGAGGAACGAAAGCCAGGGUAGCAAAUGGGAUUAGAUACCCUGGUAGUC